GCAUUUCAGUGUAACCGGAAGGCGGAAGUGGAGUGUCUUUGGAGCACACAUGUCGUCUCAGGAGCUAACAGAAGCUGCCGCGUUACUAAAUAACAUUUUGGCGUCGGCGGAGACAAUUCGAACAUUGUCUAACGCAACAGCAACCGGGCAACAGUCACAUGAUGCCUCAGGUUCCGACACGGUGGACAGUCGACUUACAACGCUAUUCCCAUCUCGCGGCCGCAGCGGCCUGCCACAGCCAUCUGCUGGCCCGGUCCGGACCUCCGUGCCGCGUUAUCAAGCUCAACAGAGCUUCGGCACAUGGACAUCGGGCAAAAGGAGAAGAAGAGCCUGUGCACAGCAUCAUGACCAUUUCAACAAAGAUGUGAUACUACUUCCCAACCCAUCAUGGGGAAUUGUCUGCAGACAAGGCACAAAAGUAUGGUUACACAAACGUGGACACAUCCUCAGUGCCUUUGAGUUCCAGAAGGUCUGGGACCACGAGACUGUAAUACAACGCAUCAGGGAUGGAUUUGGUGAACGUAUUCCGGAAGAUGUCAGCCUCCAGUUCCUAAUGGCUUGUGGCAAUAAGCUGGUGUGCCCUAAACUUCAAAAGGGUCAGGAGCUGAAUGGAAUUCUGAUCCAUAAGGUUUAUAAAACUAAAGCUCUUUAUGUAAAACCAUCAAGGAUGCUUUUGGAUGACAGUGAAGACGAUACCCACCUUUCAUCCAAUAGCACCCAUUCAACAUCAAAAAUGAAUACAAGGGCUAGUAUUUGCAUCAACAGUGAUGAUGGAGAGAGCCCUGGCACCAGCUCUAACAAUGAGGAAAGAGGCAACUGGAAUCCUGGCACAAGUCUUCCUGAUGGAGGGGCCCUUGCAGGAAGUGAUGGUAUUCCUGGUACCAGUGGUCCUGGCACAAGCAGUACAAAAGGCAUAAGUGGUCCAGAUGAAGUCUGCCUUGCGAGACAUAAUGGAACACACAGUGUUGAUGAGGAUAGCUACUCUUCUUAUUUAACACUCGUUGCUACCAUUUCUGAAGAUAGUUCUGAGGAUGAAGGAUUACAGCAGGCAAUAGUUGCCAGUAUGGAGAGUCACAAUGUGGAAAAUGUUCCAGUUAAGAAGAUACUGCUGGAACUGGCCAGCAAAAUUAAUGUAAAUCAGCGGUGCAGAUUUAACAUAAAUAGAUCUGCUGUCUGGGAGGGAGCCAUUCGUGGAUUCAAGAGGUUGUCCUAUGAGCCCAACCUGAUGAUGUCUAUAAAAUUCUCAGAUGACAUGGGAAAAAAUGAGGAAGGGGUUGAUUUAGGAGGUCCAAGGAGGGAAUUCUUAAGGCUCCUAAUGGAGAGCAUUGCAACAUCCCCCAUGUUUGAGGGAAAAGAAAACAGCAAAAACUUUGCUCUCGAUAGUACGGGUACUGAUCUGCAUUUUUUUCUAUUGUGA
rnacentral:lncRNA from 1 species